UAGGGAAUAUUGGUCAAUGGGCGCAAGCCUGAACCAGCCAUGCCGCGUGCAGGAUGACAGUCCAAGCGAUUGUAAACUGCUUUUGUACGGGAAAAAUAAGCCUCUGCGGAGGCCCAUGAUGGUACCGUAAGAAUAAGCACCGGCUAACUCCGUGCCAGCAGCCGCGGUAAGACGGAGGGUGCAAGCGUUAUCCGAAUUCACUGGGUUUAAAGGGUACGUAGGUGGCUAAGUAAGUCAGUAGUCAAAGUUAGCAGCUCAACUGCUAGUCGCUACUGAUACUGCUUAGCUUGAGUAUGGUAGAGGUGGGCGGAAUUUUACAUGUAGCGGUGAAAUGCACAGAUAUGUAAAGGAACACCGAUAACGAAGGUAGCUCACUGGGCCAUUACUGACGCUGAGGUACGAAAGCGUGGGGAGCAAAUAGG
rnacentral:rRNA from 1 species